UGGAAGUAAAAGUCGUAACAAGGUUUCCGUAGGUGAACCUGCGGAAGGAUCAUUACAGAGUUCAUGCCCGAAAGGGUAGACCUCCCACCCUUGUGUAUUAUUACUUUGUUGCUUUGGCGAGCUGCCUUCGGGCCUUGUAUGCUCGCCAGAGAAUACCAAAACUCUUUUUAUUAAUGUCGUCUGAGUACUAUAUAAUAGUUAAAACUUUCAACAACGGAUCUCUUGGUUCUGGCAUCGAUGAAGAACGCAGCGAAAUGCGAUAAGUAAUGUGAAUUGCAGAAUUCAGUGAAUCAUCGAAUCUUUGAACGCACAUUGCGCCCCUUGGUAUUCCGGGGGGCAUGCCUGUUCGAGCGUCAUUUCAACCCUCAAGCUUAGCUUGGUAUUGAGUCUAUGUCAGUAAUGGCAGGCUCUAAAAUCAGUGGCGGCGCCGCUGGGUCCUGAACGUAGUAAUAUCUCUCGUUACAGGUUCUCGGUGUGCUUCUGCCAAAACCCAAAUUUUUCUAUGGUUGACCUCGGAUCAGGUAGGGAUACCCGCUGAACUUAAGCAUAUCAAUA
rnacentral:misc_RNA from 1 species